GGGGAACAAGAAGACCAAAGAUGUGCAGUUCUAUGUGGAAGUGAUGGAAUCAGUCCAGACUUUGGGUGGUGGAAAGAGGUCUGCGUAUGACCCUGAUGAAAUUGAAGAAGAGCAAAGGGAAAGGGACAGGAAGAAUAAGAUCAGCAUGGAUUUUCAGAGCUUUGUAAAUCGGGUAAAUGAUCUUUGGAGCCAACCCCAGUUUAGUGGACUCAACCUUGAGUUUGAUCAGCCUUUGAGAGAGCUUGGCUUCCAUGGGGUGCCCUACAAAACCUCAUCUUUCAUCAUCCCAACUUCAAGCUGCUUGGUUGAGCUAAUUGAGACUCCCUUCCUUGUUGUCACCCUGAGUGAGAUUGAGAUUGUGAACUUGGAGAGAGUUGGUCUUGGACAGAAAAAUUUUGAUAUGACCAUUGUGUUUAAGGAUUUCAAGCGCGAUGUCCUUAGGAUUGAUUCUAUUCCAUCAACAUCACUGGAUGGCAUAAAGGAAUGGCUCGACACGACAGACAUCAAGUAUUAUGAGAGCAAGUUGAAUCUGAACUGGCGGCAGAUACUGAAGACAAUAACUGAUGACCCUCAGAGUUUCAUAGAUGAUGGGGGCUGGGAAUUUUUGAAUUUGGAAGCUAGUGAUUCAGAUUCUGAGAACUCAGUGGAUUCAGACCAGGGUUAUGAGCCAUCAGAAGCAGAACCCGACUCUGACUCAGAAGAUGAUGACUCUGACAGUGAGUCACUAGUGGAGUCUGAGGAUGAGGAUGAGGAGGAGGAUUCAGAGGGAGACUCUGAGGAAGAAAAGGGCAAGACAUGGGAAGAGUUAGAGAGGGAAGCAAGCAAUGCAGACAGGGAGAAAGGGGAUGAGUCAGAUAGUGAGGUGGAGAGGAAUAGAAGGAAAAUAAAGGCUCUUGGGAAGUCUCGAGCCCCUCCUAGGAGCAGCAUGGCCAAGCGUUCCAGGUUCAGAUAGAUGCCAUAGGAAUUUUUUUCUAUUCUUUGUAUUGUGUAGCAGCCGCAAGCAGCUGCUUUAGAAUGCAGUUUCCUGACCUGGCAUUGAAGCCAUUAGCUAGUGGUAGUUUUUAAAGGUUCUUAUUUAAUCGAUUGCAUCUUUUGAACAUCAAAGUAUGAGUCUUGGAAGAUAGAUUUGUGGUUGUAAGUUGGUGAUAUUAGUUUUAGUGGAAUUAAGGUUCUACUACUGUUCACAGAAAUUCUGGAAAGAAAAGAAAAUUCACUAAUCAUCUGUGUACUCUUCUUUAUGCUUUAAGAUUAAAUAAUUGUAUUGGGGUUAAGGAAGUCUCCUUGGUUCAAACAAGCUGAUUGCCACCAGUAAAUUUGAACUGCUUAAAGGAAAGGUUCUUCUGUAAAGGGACUAUUAUUGUACCAUCUUCACUCUGCUCUCUUCAUCAGAAAAUAUUAACAAUAAAUGAAACUAAAAAAGUUUAAUAAUUG
rnacentral:misc_RNA from 1 species